UUUUUGCAGGUGAGCAUUAGUGCGAGAUCUAACCAAUGAAGAAAAAUCGAUGCAUCCACGGGAUGGGAUCUGAAUCUGUGGAGGCGCAUGCAGACUGUCAUGAAUGUGUGUCCAACUCAACCCAUGUGGGAGGCAUGGUACGGCAAAAGAAACAAGUACCUGCUGGUUGCUAUGUACCUGUCAUUGGGACCAAUGUGACAUUGCAAAUCUAUCCUAUCCAGCCAGCUCGCUGAGUAGGAGAGAAGGAACUUCAUGCCAAACAGAAGGACCGUGCCCUAAUAAAACAUGAGUGAAUUCCGGUUUUUAUUCUCUAUUUUGACAUUUUUUGACACUAAUUACCCCAUUUAGCGGGAUUUCAUCUGUUUUAUCCCAUUUAGCAAAUUCACCCUGUUUAAAAUUUUAUGAGCAUUCUGACAUAUGGGUCCCAAUUGUAAGGUCCAGCUAGAAUGCCAAAUCGCCGGGUUUUUUUCCGAUGGUUUUCUACACGCCAAACCAGGUCGCCCUAGCUUCUCCCGACUGGCCAAGCUUGAUAUGAUCGCACCAGAGCAGCUCGGGAAACAGAGUACUAACUCUGCACCGGUAAACAUAUUUGCUAAUACGGAAAAGGAAACUUCUAAAACAUGAUUUACCUAGUUCAUUCUUCGCUAGAUAUGUAGAUAUGUACGUGCAUCAGAGGUACUGAAGCAGUAUAUUUACACCACUUUUAAUCUGAUCCACAUAAUCAUUCAUACUUAAGGUUGUAUAUGAUAAUACUGAAGAAAAACAUACAUGAUUUCAUAUUAUAUCAGCAACAGUCCCUCCUAGAAUUUAUUCAAUGGGAACAUGCCACGCUGAUCAAGUACAGUCAUCUCAUCACAAUACUUCUUCGAACCGGAAACGAGUAGUCUAAACCUAUCUAAUAUGCAUCCCAGACUAAGAGAAAAUCUAGCCACAAAAAACCUAACCACCAGGGGUCACAAACAGAGGAUGCAGCAUGCAUGGGACGGGACAAGAUUGUCGUAUUGGUUGCCGCUUGCUCCGACUAUCGCCAGUGGCCACGACUUGAAGUCUUGCCUGUCGUUGUCACCUACGUCGUGCUACCCCCUCCUAACGAAUGAGGCGGUGGUUUUGGGUCAGACCAGGGCAGGAUCGUGUGUGCAAUGGGAAUGCGAGUGAUGUGUGCCGUGAAUAAUGGAGGCCAAUGUGAUAUGGCCCAACCUGGGCGACUUGGCUAUCCGGCGAGCUGCUUUGGUGCCAUCAUAUCAAGCUUGGCCGGUCGGGAGAAGCUAGGCGAUGCCUUUAGGCGUGCAGGAAAACCAUCAGGAAAAAUCCGCCUAUGUGGCAUGCCAGCUGGACCUUACAAUUGGGACCCAUCGGCCAGAACACUCACAAAAUUUUAAACAUGGUAAAUUGUGGCAAUAUUUUUGCUAAAUGGGGUAAAAUGGAUGAAAUCCCGCUAAAUGGGUAAUUAGCGUAAAAAAUGUUAAAAUAGGGGGUAAAGACGGAAUUCACUCAUAAAACACUGCAAUCCUCUAUAUUUUCUGGACCCUUGAAAAUUUGAGUUACCGGAGCGCUCGUAUUGUUAAAUCGUCGGAGAGAGCAAAAGAAACUGAUCAAAAGCACAUCAACUAAAGGCUAAAUCAGAAUACCUAUGCAGCUGCGAUCAGCAUCUGAACCAUCUCCCAGCUACCUAACCGCAAGGAUGAAAGAAAUUUAAGCACACCUCUUCCAUCUACCUAGCCAUAUGAUGAUGAAAGAUAUUUAAGCACCUCUUCCCUCUACCUAACCAUAUGAUGAUGAAAGAUAUUUGCAUCUCAACCAUCUCCCAGCUACCUAGCCGCAAGGACGAGGUACAUGAAGCGACUUUGACGGUGAUCUCUACGUGGUGGUUUCAUCUACCGACUCGAGUCAACUAUAGCUAAUAUGCAUACUAUUGAAGCUGGAUACAUAAUAACUAACGAAAAGAAAACCUGAUCGCAGCCGGUUUUCACGUAUGAAUUGACUGGAAGACUUAAGAAUUCCGGUCAGUUCUUCUCACAAAAUUGAAUACUUAAGUAUUACCGUCGUUUUACACUAAAACCGCAUAUGUUACUAAUUUCAGGGCUGACAUAAUUUAUGUUUAGAGCAAACCCUGCAGAUCAAAAUUCACACCAAUUGAUUUUCAUCAAUCACAUGUCAACACAUGAUGCAUCACAAAUACACAUUCAAAUUCAUGUCACAACUGCAUUGUAUUUCAUUCCAGUGUACUCCCUCCGUUUCUUUUUACUCCGCAUAUAAAAUUUGGUCAAAGUCAAACUACACAAAGUUUGACCAAAUUUAUAUAAAAAAAUAUAAACAUCUACAAUAUUAAAACUAUAUAGUAUGAAAAUACAUUUCGUGGUGCAUCUGAUAACGUUGAUUUCAUACUGUCAAUGUUUAUAUUUUUUAAUGUAAAGUUAGUCAAACUUUACAAAGCUUGACUUUGACCAAACCUUAUAUGCAGACUAAAAAGAAACGAAGGGAGUACACAAUAUUCCGUUCCUUGUUUCUCUGGAGGCCACAUUGGAGAGAGUGUGUGUGUGUGUGUGAGUGCAUGGGUGGGUGGGUGGGCGCGCGUGUGAGCGGAUCGGGCCAAUGACAUGAAGUGAUCAAUCACAUGGAUAUCAUCGAUAAGGACAUACUCCGGCACCUCUUGCAACUCCCCCUCCGCUUCUCCCUGAGAUCUUGCAGCAAAGGCAAGCAUAUACCAGACGCUCACGCAAUCGUUUACUCAAAACUCAAAUGACCUCCCAAGAUUCCAUAAUAGUAGUUCUACUGCAACUAAAACCAACAUUCUACUAAUAAUUUGCCAAGACUAGCUCAGUAAUACUACUGAACUAUGGCUUGCGUCGGUCUCCGUGGUCGUGUGGGCAUCUUGGAUACUGGAUCUCGAGAUGGUGGCGGCCUUUCUGAGGCUGGAUGGUCGUGGUCGCUUCAAGUCACGAUCAAUGAUGGGCAGCAGCCGGCACAAUUCUCCCAAUAUGCAUGCUAUGGGUCUGCGUAAGUUGCAUAGAGAGGUCGCACGCAUACCUCAGAAGAGAGAUUGAUUAUAAGUGAUGAAUGAUAAUCCCUUCUUUCUCUACCGCCUACUAACGGUUAUAAUCGGUCGAUUGGGAUUUCUGCAAUUCACAAUCACAUAGACCGAGAACCAGCAAAGCCCCAAGAAUGCUUGCACAGUUUGAGUUCCAAAUUAAUUAAACACAAGAUAUUGUUUUCUAGUAACAGGAUAAUAAUCUUGUUGUCCUGUCUUUGUAGCUACACCCACCCCGUCCGAGUCUUCAUCAAGCAUUGACCAAUUUAUCAACCAAACGUGGCUGAUGGAUCAAUUUGUUGUCCAUUUCAACAAGUUAUGAGGGUGGACAUGGUCAUGUGCAGUGCAGUGCAGUGAUGAAGAGGUUAGGGACGACGAAAUUUCUUCUCAAGAGGCGUGCAUGGGCACUCCGCAUGUGCAAUCAUGAAGAUGAUGCAUGAUAGGCGAAGCUUCUUCCGGCCAGCCGCCGCGCUCCAGAAUUCAACGGACGAGACUAGUGCAGGCUUAAAUUGUUCCAUAAAAUGGCGGCACUCGGCGCCUCGGCUCAUUCAUCCAACCAUGUCCACGCUGAGAGCGCGGCGUGCGACGGCCAUCCUGGCCGUCGUCCUGGCGGCGGCCGCGGUCGUCACUCCGGCCACGGCCCAGCAGUGCGGCUCGCAAGCCGGCGGCGCCAAGUGCGCCGACUGCCUGUGCUGCAGCCAGUUCGGGUUCUGCGGCAGCACCUCCGAAUACUGCGGCGCCGGCUGCCAGAGCCAGUGCAGCGGCAGCGGCUGCGGCGGCGGCGGGGUGGCGUCCAUCGUGUCCAGGGACCUCUUCGAGCGGUUCCUGCUCCACCGCAACGACGCGGCGUGCCUGGCCCGCGGGUUCUACACCUACGACGCCUUCCUGGCCGCCGCCGGCGCGUUCCCGGCCUUCGGCACCACCGGAGACCUGGACACGCGGAAGCGGGAGGUGGCGGCCUUCUUCGGCCAGACCUCUCACGAGACCACCGGCGGGUGGCCCACCGCGCCCGACGGCCCCUUCUCGUGGGGCUACUGCUUCAAGCAGGAGCAGGGCUCGCCGCCGAGCUACUGCGACCAGAGCGCCGACUGGCCGUGCGCACCCGGCAAGCAGUACUAUGGCCGCGGCCCCAUCCAGCUCACCCAGUAAGCACCCACAAAACCCUCUUCUUCAUGUAGUUCUCUCCUAACUCAAAAUUCCUCAGCUUUAACCAAGUGUACAUGAAAAAUUACCAACAUUUGUGAUAGUACCGUCAGCGUAAUUAGAUAAAGCAUAUUUUCAUAUGAUAUUGUUUGGAUUGGUAAAAACAUAAAAAGUGUAGUGUCUUUGUUGGCCUGUUUGUUUCAUGAUGGAUUGAUUCAGCAACUACAACUACGGACCGGCGGGCCGCGCAAUCGGGGUGGACCUGCUGAACAAUCCGGACCUGGUGGCCACGGACCCGACAGUGGCGUUCAAGACGGCGAUAUGGUUCUGGAUGACGACGCAGUCCAACAAGCCGUCGUGCCAUGACGUGAUCACGGGGCGGUGGACUCCGACGGCCAAGGAUAGCGCGGCCGGACGGGUGCCCGGGUAUGGUGUCAUCACCAACGUCAUCAACGGCGGGAUCGAGUGCGGCAUGGGGCAGAACGACAAGGUGGCCGAUCGGAUCGGGUUCUACAAGCGCUAUUGUGACAUCUUCGGCAUCGGCUACGGGAAUAACCUCGACUGCUACAACCAAUUGUCGUUCAACAUUGGGCUCGCGGCACAGUGAGAUAGUAAGACUAUGGGUCCUCGAUCUAUGCAUGUGUGGAUGUGAUCACGCAUAAAUAAAUAAUCUUGGUGAUUACUUUAUGACCAAAUAAAUGGAUGACCAGACCUCCCACAUGUGUAGUACAUGUAUGUCGAUGCACGGAAAGGAAUCACCUUUAUUAAAAAUAUAUUCUAGUUUAUGCAGAAAUAUCUGCAAAUAUAUAUGUCGCCUACGGUCCAUACUUGCUUGUCUUGGUGGACUGAUCUUUCAUACCCCUACGUCCCAAACUUAUUUGGGACGGAGCGGACAGAGUACUCCAGUAAUUUUGAUAAUAAAGUGACGGGCGUUUAGAGCAGAAAUGGCUUUACGCGGGGGGAGUCGCCACGGAAUUUCUGAGGUAGAAUCGCGUUGUUUCCCUCCUUUUUUUGUUUACGGAAUUUCUGCUCGGUGAUAGGGGGUGUGUUGGGGCUAGUUCGUUUGCUGCGUUGGAGUUUUCAUGGGUGCAGGUAGGAGGAGAGGUGAUCAUGCGUGCAUAGAGGAAGGUAUUCCUUCGCGAACUAGUGGGCAGAUCCUUGUUGUGUGCAUUUUGUGUUAAUUCAACUCGAUUUUUUCUGUGUAUUAUUGAAGUCAGGCUAACUAUUACUCCAACGCUCUUAUAUUUCUUUAGGAGGGAGUACAAAUCAUCAGCAUUUCGCCCCCAUACAUCCGAAGUUCUUCAAAAGACUUAGCCCCUUUAACAAUCAUCAAGAGCAUGCGCAGGUAGUACAGUUCACCACUCAUAGCAUGUACAUAGUAAUCCCGCCCCCUUUCAUGCCAUGAUUUACUUUUAGCAUCCCAUGUCCACCCAAUCAGAAAAUCACAGUACGUAAAUGACCGACCAUGCUCAUAGAAUUCAUUGGCAACAAAACAUUUAGUGACCAUAGUUUUUUUCAAGAAGUCAGAACCAGCAAUUUUUGUAAUGUCAGCACCAGCACGAUAUCGAACAAUAUUCAUGCCAGGCAUAUGAACAGUUAAUCUUUCUACAGAGGGAAUUUUAAAGUGUAACGACACAAUCAAAUACUCUUUUACUUUAUCAAUUGAAAGAUAGCCGGUUACACAUCGAAUACUCUCCGAGCCAACCAGCAGCUGACACGCGAAGGGCCGACACAGGAAAUCCCCACACUGCCCUUGGCGGGCUCUCAAAACUACAGGCGGAGCCACCGCACGAUCCAGCGCUGAAGUCACACACCGCGGCUGGCCGCACACACGACGCCGACAAGAGGGCCCCACCAGGCAUCGAGCCCAUGCGACAGAGAGACACGACCUAAUGGGCGACAUGAGAAAAAGGAACGUAAUGUAGAGCAGGUACAAGUAAAAUUUUAUCCAACAGCCCAGCUCAUCCCAGAGCAGAUCAAACGACUCAGAUCGCAUCAAGUUCGAGAUCUGACGGUCCAAAUGGCCUGAGCUCCGAGAGAGCCCAUGUUUAGACAUGAAUCUAACUAUGGGAUACCCACCACCAGUGGCGGAGCUACGGGGGAGGGGGGCACUGNNNNNNNNNNNNNNNNNNNNNNNNNNNNNNNNNNNNNNNNNNNNNNNNNNNNNNNNNNNNNNNNNNNNNNNNNNNNNNNNNNNNNNNNNNNNNNNNNNNNNNNNNNNNNNNNNNNNNNNNNNNNNNNNNNNNNNNNNNNNNNNNNNNNNNNNNNNNNNNNNNNNNNNNNNNNNNNNNNNNNNNNNNNNNNNNNNNNNNNNNNNNNNNNNNNNNNNNNNNNNNNNNNNNNNNNNNNNNNNNNNNNNNNNNNNNNNNNNNNNNNNNNNNNUAAUUUCUGAAGAAUUUUUUUAGAGAAACUUAGAUUAAAUGUUUUUUUUUAACAUUUUGUGACCCCCUGUCCCCAGAGCACGCCGAGAGCACGAGCACCAGUUCACCAUCCGUGCAGAUGGAGGGCGGAGGCGCCGCAUCAGCUGAGGCGCAGAAGGGCGCGCCGGUUCCUGUCAGCCGCCGCCAAAGGCCUUUUGGCCGGCGCGGUUGACACGCCACCGGGAGAUGGACUACGCCAGCAUCGCCCGCUGAGCAUUCACCGUCGUCGUCAACGUCCUGGUCGACGAGCUCCUCGCCAGCCCACCGGACGCCACGGCGGGCGAAAGGACGCUGAACUACAUGCUCGAGGCGGCGGCGUUCAUCGGCGCAUGGUCACCUCAAACCCUUCUCUAUGUGAAUCUCAAUUAUAUAGACAAUGGAUGGUGGAAAACCAACUAAACUGGCGAUGUGGGCACCGAAAAAGGCUUCAGUAGCAGCCACUCAAGCAGACCCCUUAUAACACGGACUCUUUUAUCGUGUUUACAGUUUCCGGCAAAACGCGUUUUGCGGGUUUUGGCCGACCCUGCAUAACGGAACUGUAAAAAGUAGAAUUUUUGGCAUGCCAACAAAACUCGAUGACGCGACACUGAGACAAAACAUCUUCAGACUCAAACUCUCCUCUUUUUCUUCAGAAUUCGACUACGCGCAGAUAGAUGAAACGCAAAAGCUUCUUCAAGCGCGAAGCUUUCAGUGCUCAGUAGUUAAGUAAUAGCGGCUUUCAGUGCUCAGAUCUCACCGUAAAUUUGAAACGCUGUGUUUGAAAUCUCACAGAGGAAGAAUUCUCCCUUUCUUCAGAAAGGGAGAAGAUUUCGUCGCUGCCACUUCUUCGUGCAGAAAUAUACGCUCACGUACAGCAAAGAAACUUUCUUCGGACUAACACUCUGAAUUUGAUUAAUUAUCUCCGAAUUUUAUCAGAGGCAGUUUCAGUUCUAAAGCAUCAGAAAAGAAGGCAAAACAUUUGCAGACUUUUAAACUCCUGUUUUUCCUUCAGAAUUCGACCACAGGGGACGAACUCCCUCCGUUCUCACAUCUCAUACAUCCCCAAAACACACAAAGUGACACUGAUAUUUGACCCGAGAAUGAAACAAGAACGACACUGACACUCCAGCUAGACACGCAGCGACCAACAACCACUAGAACUCACUCACCCAUGGACAGACACGACACUGCUCAUCUUCUUCUCCUGGUUGCAAGGAAAUGAGACUCUUCUUCAAUCUUCAGUCGACCUCCUCCAUCUUGCUCUCCUCGGCGCCCUCCUCCUCCAGCGCGGGCAUGUCGGCAUCCUCCUCCUCGGCAUCCUGAUCAUCGAUGUUGAGGCCGAGCUUGAGCAUGCGGUGGAUCCUGGCGGCGAAGGUGUUGGGGUCGUCGAGGCUGAAGCCGGAGGUGAGCAGCGCCGUCUCGAAGAGCAGCAUCACGAGGUCCUUGACGGACUUGUCGUUCUUGUCGGCGUCGGCGCGCUUGCGGAGCUCCUCCAUGAUGCCGUUCUCCGGGUUGAUCUCCAUCGUCUUCUUGGAGGACAUGUAUGCGCCCAUGCUGCUGUCCCUCAGCGCCUGCGCCUUCAUGAUCCGCUCCAUGUUGGCCGUCCACCCGUACUCGCCGGUCACCAGGCAGCACGGCGAGUCCACGAUGCGGUCGGAUACGACCACCUUCUCCACCUUGUCGCCCAGGAUGUCCUUGAUGAUCUUGCAGAGGCCCUCGAACGCCGCCUUUUUUUCUUCCUUGCGCUUCUUCUCCUCCUCGGUCUCCUCGUCGAGCUUGAGGCCCUCCUUGGUGGCGGAGACGAGCUUCUUGCCGUCGUACUCCUUGAGCUGCCCCACGGCGUACUCGUCGAUGGCGUCCACCAUGAAGAGCACCUCGUAGCCGCGCUUCUUGAGGCGCUCCAGGAAGGGCGAGUUCUCCACGGCCUUGCGGCUCUCGCCGGUGAUGUAGUAGAUGUCCUUCUGGCCCUCCUUCAUCCGGGUGACGUAGUCCUUGAGGCUGGUGAGCUCGUCGCCGCUCUUGGUCGAGUGAUACCGGAGCAGGUCGGCGAGCUUGGCUCGGUUCUGGGAGUCCUCGUGCACGCCCAGCUUGAGGUUCUUGGAGAAUGCCUCGUAGAACUUGGCGUAGUCCUCCUUGUUCUCGGCGAUCUCGAAGAAGAGCUCGAUGCACUUCUUGACGAGGUUCUUGCGGAUGACCUUGAGGAUCUUGUUCUGCUGCAGCGUCUCGCGGGAGAUGUUGAGGGGGAGGUCGUCCGAGUCGACGACGCCCUUGACGAAGCCCAGCCACUCCGGGAUGAGCUCCUCGCAGUUGUCCAUGAUGAAGACGCGGCGCACGUAGAGCUUGAUGUUGUUCAUCUUCUUGCGGGUGUCGAAGAGGUCGAAGGGGGCGCGGCGGGGCACGAAGAGCACCGCCUUGAACUCCAGCUGCCCCUCCACCGAGAAGUGCUUCACGGCGAGGUGGUCCUCCCAGUCGUUGGUGAUGCUCUUGUAGAAGGACGCGUACUCCUCCUUGCUGAUCUCCUCCGGCUUGCGCAGCCAGAUGGGCUUCUGCUUGUUGAUCUGCGCCCACUCGUGGCUCACCUCCUUCACCUUCUUCGUCUUCUUCUUGCUCUCGUCCUUGUCCUUGUCAUCGUCGACCUCCUCGACCUCGCCUUCCUUCUUCUCCUCGGAAGCGUCUUCGUCUUCGUCGUCGCUGAUCUCCUUCUCGGUGGUCUUCUCGGUCCAGAGGUAGAUGGGGUAGCUGAUGAACUCCGAGUGCUUCUUGACGAGGUCCUUGAGGCGGCGCUCCUCGAGGUACUCGAGCUGGUCGUCCUUGAGGAAGAGCGUGAUCUUGGUGCCGCGGCCGAGCCGCUCGCCCUCCGUGUCGAGGGUGACGGUGAAGGAGCCGCCGGCCUGCGACUCCCACACGUACUGCUCGUCGUCGUUGUGCUUGGUGGUGACCACCACCUUGUCGGCGACGAGGUAGGCCGAGUAGAAGCCGACCCCGAACUGGCCGAUCAUGCUCACGUCCGCGCCCGCCUGCAGCGCCUCCAUGAACUCCUUGGUGCCCGAGCGCGCGAUGGUGCCCAGGUUGUUCACAAGGUCUGCGGCCACGGCAAACAAUCAUAAGAGAUUUGGUCAUCGUCAUCAGAUCAGAGGCAAAUGGAAGUUCAGUCUGAAACUCUAGAUUAGUUGUCGUCAGACAUUCAGACAUUCAGCAACGACUGAACAUUUAAAUUCAGGCAGACAUUCAGCAACGAUGACACCUCUAAAUUCAGGCAGACAUUCAGCAACGAUGACACAUCUAAAUUCAGACAGACAUUCAGGGAUUCAGCAACAAUAGCACAUAAUGAAUUCAGCCACCAUCCAUGAUUGAUGGAUUGAGAGUGGAAGAGGAUGCGGCCAUAGAUAGAUAGAUAGAUGGAUACCUGACUUGGUCAUGCCGACGCCGCUGUCGAUGAUGGAGAGCGUCUUGUUGGCCUUGUCGGGGACGAGGCGGAUGAAGAGCUCCGGCUGCGCGUCGAGCUUGCUCUUGUCUGUCAGGCUCUCGAACCGGAUCUUGUCAAGCGCCUGCAAGCAAAGCAUCAUUGGGUGUGAGCAAAUCAAGCAACAAAUGAAUCAUCUCUGACUCUGACGACGAACGAACAGACAAGGCAGAGAAGCAGAGGAAACAGAGCAAGGAAGGAACAGACAGAGGAGGAAGGAAGGAAGAGAGGAGAACAUACGUCUGACGAGUUUGAUAUGAGCUCGCGGAGGAAGAUCUCCUUGUUGGAGUAGAAGGUGUUGAUGAUGAGCGAGAGCAGCUGGUUGAUCUCCGCCUGGAACGCGAAGGUCUCCGUCUCCAUCUGCACGUCCGACGCCAUUGCCGUCUCCGCUGCCACUUCUCGAAGGGAAAUUGGGGGAAGAUGGCUGGGUGGGCUGCUGAUUCCUCGGCCGAUUCGCUGCGUUGAUUGCUCUGAUCGCUUGCUUGUCGCGCUGCGGGAAGAGGUUUGGGGACAGACAGAUUGACGAACAGGUGGCGGGCGGGAGGAUUUAUACCCCGGAGAUGGGAUCGCUAGGGGCCUUCGCAGGUGUUCUG
rnacentral:lncRNA from 1 species